UCCCUGGUAGCUCAGAUGGUAAAGCAUCUGCCUGCAGUGCAGGAGACCUGGGUUCGAUCCCUGGGUUGGGAA
rnacentral:tRNA from 1 species